ACUAAGUCGUAAAUUAAGCAACAAAAAUGAAAUUUGGUGCAGACGAUUAAAAUGAGAAGGGAUAUCUGUGGUUAAAAAAUUUUUGGAAUGUGCCCGCGACCCCGCCCCAAUAGGUGUUAUGUACAUAUCGCAAAAACCAACAAUGCGAUAUCAACCAAGCGCGGAACAUGAGGACGUUGUUGGCGUCUGUGGUUUAGGGUGAAAUCGGAUGAUAAAUUGUCGAUAUCAGACCAUAACUUUUCAAGGUACCAUAUACAGAGUAUGUGGGUUCCACAUACUGCCUAUGGAUGACUUUACCGAAAAUAUCGGUUGAUCUGUCAGAUACAUUAUUGAAAUACGGAUAUAAUCUUUUUCUGAUAACAGCAUACCCUUGUGUAAAAAAUGGGAAAAGUCGGGCAUUACUUCCCUAAGCUCCCAUAUACCUAAUAUAAACAUUUUCGAACUUCCAGUAGACUUCAUACCGCAUAUCGCGGUCAAUAUGUAAUGUCUUCAUACCGCAUAUGCGGUCAAUAUAAAAGAAGUAUUCGAUGGACCACAAAUUAGAUCUUUGAUGGCUGAUGAUGUCAGUAUAGUCCUGUAUCAUUGUUUACACUUGAUGUUUUCUUCGUUUAAAUAAAAAAAAACGUCUUUUCCUUUUUAUAAAAAGCUGAAAUAAAAUUGCGACAAUACAAUAAGAAUAUGAAGCAGAAAAGGCUGUUUUGCGCUUGUUGCGAUUUCGAAGGCAGUGUUUAUCACUAGAUUCCAUUUGGGGGCGAGGAUGGUAAUAACAACCAAGCUGUCAACCAAUACGCACGCAGAUUUAUUGUAUGAGCAGUAAAACGCGAUGCAGCAAAGAAAAUAAUGCGCUUCCAAUGAGUUGGUGUACGUUCACAUGAGUACCAAUGCAACGACAAAUAAGUUCUUGCCAACGACGCAUACCCAAAAAGAUACUGCAAAAAAUCUCAGCGCAUAAAAAUUUGCAAAUAAUUUUAUUAUAUUACACAUGUAUAUAAUUUACACAAAAAUAGAGACAAUAAUGAUGAACUUCAUUAGUAAGGCAAGUUUUAUCCAUGCAACCUCCGAGAUAUGUCUUCAAGAAACCCUCGACCGAUGACUACGAUUCUUUUCCUGUAUAGAGCCGUGCAAUCUCAUAGAAGAUGUUUAAUGGUCUCCUCCUCUUCGACCUCCUAACAGCUUCUACAAUAGUCGUUAUAUAUUAUGGCGUUUCAAGUCUACUUGCAUGUCUGCCUAUUAGACAGGCCACUGCCACAGUACGCCUAUUAGAGUUCUUAUAUCAUUAUUUUUCAUCAAGGCAUUAUUUCACUGUCUUAGACGAAAUCCUAUGAGACAUUAGAGAUUUCAAAGCCGCCUGGCAGUCAGUCUAUAUAUCUUUAUAUAUAAGUUAAAGUUAAUGAUAUUACAAAUUAAUUGUUUGCACGACUUCUUCCGUUCGCCGUCUAAUUUAUUCUGCUGGUUGCUUUUUUGAUAUUCUACUCAUCAUGCUCAUCAAGCUCAGCUUCAAUGUUAAUGAGUGAACCGAUUUCCAAAAGUCCGCAUUACGGUUGACGCCAGUGGGAGAGGUAAAAAUCGGUUAGUGACUCAAUGUUACUCCACAGUGCUGUUGCUGCGUAACUCACUGAUAAUACUCCAACCAAAACAGGUUUUAUGCUAUGAUUGCAUUCGCUAUUGUUGUUGUGGCGGCGCUGAAUGAAAACUAUAUCUUAUUAAGCGCAAAGUAAGCCGCUCAUAGUAAAAGAGAAUUUCAGAAUUUCGCAUAUCACCAUAAUUACCCUCCUUGUUAAGUCCGGAACGUCCCUGUUGCGGAAGUCUAUUUACUUUUAAGUUCGGCAACUGAUGGUAUUGGGUAGAAGUGUUCACAAAUUUUGAUUAUCAUAAUUGUUUGCAAUUUUGGCGGCUUGUUUAGCAUGAUUGAGCAUAAUUUACAUGUUUUUACAAUUUAAAUAUCUUAACAAUAUAAUAAUUCAUUUUAAAUCUAUGUGUGAUUCGAAUGGCUUAGUACAAAGCGUUAAUUUAUUACAAUUUCUACUUAAGGUUUAUAUGUGUAAAUUUUCGAAUGUAAUGAAAAAUAAUUUAUAAUUUGUGUCAAUGACAUUUUAGAUUGCUUUACAGUUUGAAUACUUAACAUACAAUAAUACAUUUUGGUUUUUGUUUCUUUUAUAUGUAACUCGAAUAGCUUAUGAUAAAGAGUUAUCUUAAUUUAUUACAGAUUUUAUUUAUUGUUGUUGUUGUAAAUAUUCGAAAUUGAUGAAAAGGAAAAAAAAA